GUACACUCCUGCGGGAGGCAGCAGUGGGGAAUUUUGGACAAUGGGCGAAAGCCUGAUCCAGCAAUGCCGCGUGUGUGAAGAAGGCCUUCGGGUUGUAAAGCACUUUUGUCCGGAAAGAAAUCCUUGGCUCUAAUACAGUCGGGGGAUGACGGUACCGGAAGAAUAAGCACCGGCUAACUACGUGCCAGCAGCCGCGGUAAUACGUAGGGUGCGAGCGUUAAUCGGAAUUACUGGGCGUAAAGCGUGCGCAGGCGGUUUGCUAAGACCGAUGUGAAAUCCCCGGGCUCAACCUGGGAACUGCAUUGGUGACUGGCAGGCUAGAGUAUGGCAGAGGGGGGUAGAAUUCCACGUGUAGCAGUGAAAUGCGUAGAGAUGUGGAGGAAUACCGAUGGCGAAGGCAGCCCCCUGGGCCAAUACUGACGCUCAUGCACGAAAGCGUGGGGAGCAAACAGGAUUAGAAACCCCUGUAGUCCC
rnacentral:rRNA from 1 species